CUAAAAUCGGACACUCAAACAGGCGAACACCGCUGAGACCUCCAUACCUUCGGGAAAACCUCGCCAAAACUACCGAACGACCAGGCGUUCGGUAGAAAGAAUCAGCAACAGAUGGGGAUUUCAGCGAACCCAGGAUGGCAUACGGAUGGCCGGCCGUUCGGGAGUUUUUACCCACGAUCUUAGACCGACUGCAGGGCCAGCAUUCAUGGAACUGUUUUCGGCUACUGUGC